CCUACGGGGGGCUGCAGUGGGGAAUAUUGCACAAUGGGGGAAACCCUGAUGCAGCGACGCCGCGUGAGUGAAGAAGUAUUUCGGUAUGUAAAGCUCUAUCAGCAGGGAAGAAAUAAAGUCCUUCGGACUUUGGACGGUACCUGACUAAGAAGCCCCGGCUAACUACGUGCCAGCAGCCGCGGUAAUACGUAGGGGGCAAGCGUUAUCCGGAUUUACUGGGUGUAAAGGGAGCGUAGACGGCAGCGCAAGUCUGGAGUGAAAUCCCAUGGCUUAACCAUGGAACUGCUUUGGAAACUGUGCAGCUGGAGUGCAGGAGAGGUAAGCGGAAUUCCUAGUGUAGCGGUGAAAUGCAUAGAUAUCACGCAGAACUCCGAUUGCGAAGGCAGCAUACCGGCGCGCAACUGACGCUCAUGCACGAAAGCGUGGGUAUCGAACAGGAUUAGAUACCCCAGUAGUC
rnacentral:rRNA from 1 species